AGCACGGUCUUCAGUUUCUCAUCUCACCCCGUGAUCUCUCUCUCUUUCUCUCCUCUCUAUCUCUCUUUAGAUUCUUUAGGCAUAGAUCUAUCUAUUCUACUUCCUUUUCUCCCUAAGUUUGGAAUUAAAGCUGCAUAUUUUGGGCUGUUGAUUUUUUUUCCUUUUCUGUAUUCGAGAGGUCUGGUCGAUUUGAACCCAAGCCCAAGUAGCUUCCACUAUAACUCUUCACACCAAAGAAAAUUGGAGAAGACGACCAUUUGUAAUUGGCUAUUUGCCGCAUCUAUCAAGUUUUGGGUGUCCUUUGCUUUGUCAGAUAUGUGGUGUGCUCUUCCCUUGUAUCUGUCGUUCCCUAUUUGUUUUUCCUUUUAGAUUUGUAAUUAAAGCUAUGUAAUUUUGGUUGAAUUCAUUCUCAUAGGAUUGGAGUUAGUGCUGGAUAUCUAUCUUCGAAGAGCGACGAGCGUAGCUCUUGUAAAACGUGGCUGCCAAUCAGUUUGUUUGCUCAUCCUCUUCGUUACUCUAUUCUGCACAGUUCGAUUUUAUUUUUACCGUUGUUGGGUAAUUUAUUUCUCUUACUCCUAUUGUUCUCCAUGUUGCCGUUGUUGAAACGUAAAAUUACGAGUUCUAUUGAGAGGUGAGACUUGCCUUUGCUAGAAUUUCGUGUUCCUUGUUGUGUGCUACUCUGAUGACAAGUUCAGCAUGGUUAUUUUAGUUAGCUUUCUGUUUCAUCUUAAUAAAUCUUAUGGCUCUAAUUGUCUUAUUAACUGACAUAUAACAAACCAUAUAUAUGAAUUAAGUUGUUCGUUAAAUUUGACAUUGAAUUCAUUGCAAUUCGAUACUAUAAAUGAAUUCAGGAUGUG
rnacentral:lncRNA from 1 species